rnacentral:rRNA from 1 species
CCUGCCCUGUACAGGGGGAUAACAGCUGGAAACGGCUGCUAAUACCGCAUAAGCGCACGAGGAGACAUCUCCUUGUGUGAAAAACUCCGGUGGUACAGGAUGGGCCCGCGUCUGAUUAGCUGGUUGGCAGGGUAACGGCCUACCAAGGCAACGAUCAGUAGCCGGUCUGAGAGGAUGAACGGCCACAUUGGAACUGAGACACGGUCCAAACUCCUACGGGAGGCAGCAGUGGGGAAUAUUGCACAAUGGGGGAAACCCUGAUGCAGCAACGCCGCGUGAGUGAAGAAGUAUUUCGGUAUGUAAAGCUCUAUCAGCAGGGAAGAUAAUGACGGUACCUGACUAAGAAGCUCCGGCUAAAUACGUGCCAGCAGCCGCGGUAAUACGUAUGGAGCAAGCGUUAUCCGGAUUUACUGGGCGUAAAGGGUGCGUAGGUGGCAGUGCAAGUCAGAUGUGAAAGGCCGGGGCUCAACCCCGGAGCUGCAUUUGAAACUGCUCGGCUAGAGUACAGGAGAGGCAGGCGGAAUUCCUAGUGUAGCGGUGAAAUGCGUAGAUAUUAGGAGGAACACCAGUGGCGAAGGCGGCCUGCUGGACUGUUACUGACACUGAGGCACGAAAGCGUGGGGAGCAAACAGGAUUAGAUACCCUGGUAGUCCACGCCGUAAACGAUGAAUAAUAGGUGUCGGGGCCGUAUAGGCUUCGGUGCCGCCG